rnacentral:rRNA from 1 species
CGGACGGGUGAGUAACGCGUGAGAAUCUGCCUUCAGGAUGGGGACAACAGUUAGAAAUGACUGCUAAUACCCAAUGUGCCGCAAGGUGAAAGUUUUUCGCCUGGAGAGGAGCUCGCGUCCGAUUAGCUAGUUGGGGUGGUAAAAGCGCACCAAGGCAACGAUCGGUAGCUGGUCUGAGAGGAUGAGCAGCCACGCUGGGACUGAGACACGGCCCAGACUCCUACGGGAGGCAGCAGUGGGGAAUUUUCCGCAAUGGGCGCAAGCCUGACGGAGCAAUACCGCGUGAGGGAGGAAGGCUUUUGGGUUGUAAACCUCUUUUCUCAAGGAAGAAGCACUGACGGUACUUGAGGAAUCAGCAUCGGCUAACUCCGUGCCAGCAGCCGCGGUAAUACGGAGGAUGCAAGCGUCAUCCGGAAUUAUUGGGCGUAAAGCGUCCGCAGGUGGUACAUCAAGUCUGCUGUCAAAGACUAGGGCUUAACCCUGGAGCGGCAGUGGAAACUGAUGAACUAGAGUACGGUAGGGGUAGAGGGAAUUCCCAGUGUAGCGGUGAAAUGCGUAGAGAUUGGGAAGAACACCAGUGGCGAAGGCGCUCUACUGGACCUGUACUGACACUCAGGGACGAAAGCUAGGGGAGCGAAAGGGAUUAGAUACCCCUGUAGUC